rnacentral:rRNA from 1 species
UACGAAGGGGGCUAGCGUUGUUCGGAAUUACUGGGCGUAAAGCGCGCGCAGGCGGUCUUCCAAGUCAGUGGUGAAAGCCCGGAGCUCAACUCCGGAACUGCCAUUGAAACUGUUAGACUUGAGGACGAGAGAGGUGAGUGGAAUUCCCAGUGUAGAGGUGAAAUUCGUAGAUAUUGGGAAGAACACCGGUGGCGAAGGCGGGCUCACUGGCUCGUAUCUGACGCUCAGGCGCGACAGCGUGGGGAGUCAAACAGG